GAAUGUGGGGGCGGCUCCCAACAGUCACCCAUCCAUUAGUGGCUCAUGUGUUCUUAAGACAAACUCAGCAGGCUGUACCUGUCCAGAGUGAGUAUAAUGAUCUGUUGCAGUGGAUCCCAGCGUGUGGUGGGUCGGGGUGGGGCCGGCAGAGUUUGGACAGGAGUGCAGAGCUGUUUUGCCAGUUUCUGCUAAAGCCCUGUGGAUGAAGAGCCUGCUAACUCCAAAGAGAUGGACCCCAGUCCUACUCUUAGAGUCCCCACUGCAGAGGUCCAGAGCACUGCAGGUCACGUGUGUGGAUCACUUGCCUGAUGUCUGAGACACUGCGGGCAGGCAGAGGCACUGGGGGCCUGAGACCCCAGCCAGUGGCUUCAGUAGCCUGCUCUUCCUCGGUCUGAGAACUCGCCCAGAAGCUGUCACUGAUGUGAUUGCAGGAACGCAGGGUGGCUGGGAUGUCACAUGCUGCCUCCUGAAGGAGGAGGAGGGGACGUCAGGGUCACGUUAGAAGGCUGCCUGUUGUAUUAAUCCACUGAAGGCAGGUCAGUCCAUCUCCAGGUUGACAGAUGAGGAGGCUGUCAGAGAGAAAGAGCAGAAUACGGUGUGUCCCAGAGCAGGUAGAAGAGCCAGGAAGCAAACUCAGGCCACCAGGCUCCGGGAGUCCUGCUCUUACCUAAUUAGGACGGGAGCCCUGUGUCAGCCCCCCACCCCCACCCCAAGUCAUGUUGUGACCCUGUAUUCUGGACCAGAGCUGACCUCAGGGGUCACAUUUGAUGCCUGCCUUCUUGGACUGUGGUGUAACAGGCCUACCAUGGAAGGCUUACCUUGUGAUUACUUUCAAAUGAGAGUGAUUAAUGUUUGCUGCGCAAUAAUAAACGUGCUUUGAAAGCA
rnacentral:lncRNA from 1 species